CAAAGCAUAGUAUCAAGCGUAUACCCUCCACUUACACUGGAAAAAGAGUUGUUUAAUUCAACUUGCUUCGA
rnacentral:tRNA from 4 species